CACAAUCAUGAUCAAUGCCUCCGGGACUAUGAAAACGCCAUCAUGAAUGUUAACAUUAUUCUCUUGGGUGAGCGGAGCUUUGGAGAGGAAAAAAAGGAAAGUCUAAACUGACAAACUUCUGAAAACACUCGGGUCUGGCAGGAGUUCUCUUCUCUCCCCGAGAGCAGAAUUGGGGUUGAGCGGCACUUGGUAGGCGUGGAGCGCGCUUCAGUCUCGGGCCACUACCCCAGGCGUUUUCUCAUCUGACACUCACAGCAGCCCUCAGGUGGCUUUGCAGUGCGUUCCCGCCCUCCCCCGCCAAGAGUGGGUGCAGAAUUUUUCCCUGCUCCGCGUCAAUGCUGGGUGUGGCCAUGAGCCCUGAAAUUACACAUGGAGCCCAGCCUCUGCUGAUCUGUACCCAUCAAGAAGAAAAAAUGUUGAUCUUUGUUGCUCUUCUCCUCUCUGCCUCCAUGAUCCGGAACCUUCAGCUGGUCAACUGAGCUACACCUGGUGCUGUGGUGCUUCCCCAAGCUGCACACGCCGAUGGCAGUGAGGAAUGACUGCGCCCAUUGUAUCACCUUCUCGCUGUCAGUGAGCCAGUGAGCACCUGCGGCUGCUUCAAGGGGAACUACAAUAAAACUUCCAAGACAGUCCACUUCUUAGGAGGUAUAAGCAAAGAGCAAACACAACCUGUCAAUCAUGCCGAAUGCUGCUGAUGCUGUUUUCUCAUCCUAAAACAGACGAUGAAAAUGCUAAGCUCUGUAAAGAAGGACUUAGUCAUAUUCAAAAUUCUCCAAUAAACACCUCACUGUUGUG